AUUGAACGCUGGCGGCAGGCCUAACACAUGCAAGUCGAGCGAGCGGCGGACGGGUGAGUAAUGUAUGGGGACUGCCCGAUAGCGGGGGAUCACUACUGGAAACGGUGGCUAAUACCGCAUACUAUCGGAUAACCCAUAUGGGAUUAGCUUGUAGGUGGGGUAAAGGCGCACCUAGGCGACGAUCUCUAGCUGGUCUGAGAGGAUGAUCAGCCAAACGGGGACUGAGACACGGCCCAGACUCCUACGGAGGCAGCAGUGGGGAAGAUGGCGCAAGGGGGGAAACCCUGAAGCAGCCAUGCCGAGUGAAUGAAGAAGGCCUUCGGGUUGUAAAGUUCUUGCAGCGGGGAGGCGUUACCCGAAGAAGAAGCACCGGCUAACUCCGUGCCAGCCGCCGCGGUAAUUC
rnacentral:rRNA from 1 species